rnacentral:rRNA from 1 species
GACGAACGCUGGCGGCGUGCCUAAUACAUGCAAGUCGAGCGGGCCUCCGGAGGUGCUUGCACCUCCGGAAGGCCAGCGGCGGACGGGUGAGUAACACGUGGGCAACCUGCCUUUGAGGCCGGGAUAACACCGGGAAACCGGUGCUAAUACCGGAUGCGUCCCCUUUCGCGCCUGCGAGAGGGGAGAAAGACGGUCUUUAAGGCCGUCGCUCAAAGAGGGGCCCGCGGCGCAUUAGCUGGUUGGUGGGGUAAGGGCCUACCAAGGCGACGAUGCGUUGCCGACCUGAGAGGGUGAUCGGCCACACUGGGACUGGGACACGGCCCAGACUCCUGCGGGAGGCAGCAGUAGGGAAUCAUCCGCAAUGGGCGAAAGCCUGACGGUGCAACGCCGCGUGAGUGAGGAAGGUUUUCGGAUCGUAAAGCUCUGUUGUGAGGGAAGAACAGCUUCCGGAGGAAAUGCCGGAGGUUUGCCGGUACCUCACCAGAAAGCCCCGGCUAACUACGUGCCAGCCGCCGCGGUAAUAC